UGAGCUGACGUCAUCCGGCUACGGAGGCUCGAACGAGUCUAAUUUGCCCAGACGGAAGCUUUGCCGCCGGUACUCCGUUUGCGCUGAAAUGUAGAAUAGCCAUGAAGAGGAGCAGCCAGAAGACACAGGAGAAGGAAGUUUGACUGGCAUUCUCAGGACACCCAUCAGCGGCAGCAGCAGCGACGCAGCAGGAGGAGAGCUACAGAUAUAUCCGAUUUGAUUGGAUUUCGCAUUGCUCCAACUUCCUCCCCAAUGAUGAAAUGGAUGGCAUGGCAUGAAUAUAUCACUGAUGGUGGGGGCACUUCCCCUGCCCCCUAAUCUACUCGGAUUACACUUCCACCUUGAGUACUGACCUUGAUAGCCCUAUGCCUUCUAUUGAUUCUUUGUCUAUUGAUAUGUCUCCUUGUUUGAUCCUUGUCCAUCUGUAUAUUUCUCAUGAUAUCUCUGUAUUUUAUUUUUUAUUUUGCCUAUAUUGGACUCAUAUAUUUGACUUUUUGAUAUUUUUGAUAUUUGUAUGUAUGCAUCCCGUUCCCCUGGUUCUAUGUACCUCCCUAUCCCCUCCCAUUUUCUUUUCUGUACCCC